UACAGAGGGGGCAAGCGUUGUUCGGAAUUACUGGGCGUAAAGGGCUCGUAGGUGGCCAACUAAGUCGGACGUGAAAUCCCUCAGCUUAACUGGGGAACUGCGUCCGAUACUGGAUGGCUUGAGUUCGGGAGAGGGAUGCGGAAUUCCAGGUGUAGCGGUGAAAUGCGUAGAUAUCUGGAGGAACACCGGUGGCGAAGGCGGCAUCCUGGACCGAUACUGACGCUGAGGAGCGAAAGCCAGGGGAGCAAACGGG
rnacentral:rRNA from 1 species